CGUCCCCCACCUCUCUCAGCAUCUGCCCUGGCCCAGAGCUUUUCCCCUUUCGUGCCUCUCAUCGGCGUUGUCGUCGCCCGCGCCAGUCGUAGAUCUGCCCUGCGCACGUUUCCUCUCCGCUUUUCCUACUGUGUCCUUGGCAAUGGUUCCCUGCUCGGCGAUUGUGCCUGUUUGGGCCUCGGUUCCUUCGCCGCUGUGUUGUGGCCACGUUUCCCUACCUGCGGUCUUUCCGCUGUCGCUUCCGGCCGGCUUCCCUAGCUGUUCUUGUGCUUGAUCUGUUGAGUGUUCCUCUUUUUCGUAGUGCUUUGUUCAUCUGGGCCUUCAGUUGCAGGGGUUAUAGGGCACAAUUUUCUUUUUGUUUGGAUUUGUGGUCUUUGCAUGUAGGUUGCACCAUGUGGCCGUGCGAAUCUGGAUGUUGUUCGAGACCUCCAUCAUCUUCAGCAGGUGCGGUGCCCACGACCACUGCUUCGUCCUCCCACCGUGCCUCCGCCAUGGUGCCCUGGUGCUGAAGGUUGCCAUCAUCCUCAGGUCUGCCUGCCUUGACCCUGACGGCCAAAGGUACGGCCGUCCUCCCUAGAGAUGUUAUUAUCUUUCCUCUUCGUCAAACAAAUGAUGUUUGCCUGCAUCAUUCAAUUCUGACCUUUUGGGAUGUGUUCAUCAGUGACUGCAGGCUGUAAUGCUUAUAGCUUUGUACUGUGAUAGAAAUGUCUGGACCACACAGGCAAGCUGCUGUCUGCAACAAAAAAAAAGAUCUAAAACAUGCCCAUUAAUUUGAAGGAGAAGGAUUCCAUAGUUUCUAAGCAGAAAUAAGCAGGUGCCAUUUUGUACUACAAUUGUCCAUCCCCGAGACCCAUUUAUUUGGUUACUUUUAACUGUGUUUUUCGUUACAAUUUGCGAGGACUAAAACUAAGAGGCUGGAUACUGCAUGUGGCUGCCAAGUGAACUAUUUUCUAUGUUCUGAGAUAACCCUGCAAAACAAUUGACAAUGUGAUUCCAGGUUUUCUGGCCUGACCUAUAAAUUUGUUACUGUGAUAACAACCUGGGAAGAAGAAAACUUAUAAUUCACCAGCUGGCCUUCUCUUUCACCAUGCUGAUCAUAGGUUUCACCGCUCAAGGGUGUUCGCCGAUUUCAAAUCCGACACAAGUUAGCGUCUCGAUACAUGGGAUUAUUCCAGAUUGUCUCUCGACAUGGAGAGGUGGCAUAUCAACUGGACUUGUCUCCGUCUCUCUGCCGUGCAUAACGUCUUCCACGUGUCGCAACUUAAGAAAUGCCUCCGAGUUCCAACCGAGAUCGUUGAUAUUACACUCAAGAGUUGUAGUCAGCGGAUAUUGGAUGUAGCAGAACGCAAAACUCGGUGUCAUUCUAUAAAAUUUAUCAAAGUGUAAUAGAGCAACCACACUGAGGACGAGGCAACUUGAGAGUGUGAGGAUAAAAUCCGUUUUGAGUAUCUCGAGCUUUUUUGAGCUUGUAAACAUCGUGUAAAACAAUUG